UGGCAAUCAGUGAGAAACUGCCUGAUCAGUACCUUUGCACAGUGCCUGGCACAGAAAAGAAGCUCAGUGACAUAAAAUCGAACGCUGAGAAGCCUGUGAACUUGUCACAUCAGUGUGCAGCCUGGACAACUGACAGACCCAACACCAAAUGCUGUGGUUCCUUUUGCAAUCGUCUGUAAUUCUCCAACUCUGAGCAACAGGUUUGGAGGUCUCUCUUAACCCAGCUCCAGAGGAAACACUCAAUACACAAGUAUAACUUAAUUGGCAAUGUAGAUGCGGACAUUAAGGAAGGCUGGGUAGACAGGAAUUGUAUACAAAGAGCCUACAGCUACAAAUGUAUAAUCUUGUAACAAAACUGCACCAUCACCUCUGCACCUAGUUCUUGGUAUGUAAAGGAAAUUUGUUCAGUUCUUGGUAUGUAAAGGAAAUUUGGAAUGCUGCCUGCUGCAUGAAAACACAAUUUUCCCAUCAUCACCUACAAAACAUUGGCAAAGAAGGGCCGACUGUUUUGUCUUUAUAUCACAUGGAUUAUUCCUUCCCUUCUCCAUCAUGAUAUAAGUGUGAAGAUGCAAAAUAUCCCAAAGCCGAUCCUUCUUCGUCUUUGCUAACAACAAAUAAGCCAUUUUACUUCUCAGAACAAUCUUCCAGCUAAAUAUUUCUCCGGUUAUACAUAA